rnacentral:rRNA from 1 species
UACGUAGGUGGCGAGCGUUGUCCGGAUUUACUGGGCGUAAAGGGCGUGCAGGCGGUUUGUUAAGUGCAGAGUGAAAGCUCCCGGCUCAACUGGGAGAGGUCUUUGCAUACUGGCAAACUCGAGGGAGGCAGAGGAAAGUGGAAUCCCGGUGUAGUGGUGAUAUGCGUAGAUAUCGGGAGGAACACCUGUGGCGAAGGCGGCUUUCUGGGCCCUUACC